UUUAAUUUAUGAUUAAUUAAUGAAAUGCAAUACUUUUUUUGAGAUGUAAGAUUAAUAUUAUUUUGACAAUUUUCAAUUUUCCCGAUUUAAGGGACUCAUCAUGCCCCUUCUAUGGCAUAUAUGUAAAAAUGUUGUAGAAAAAAAUGAAACAUUUAUUAUGUCCCAUUUAUGGGCAUCAUGUUUCUGGUCUGUGCGUCUAUUUGUCUCUUUCUCCGUCCAUCUGUCUGUCCUGCUUCAGGUUAAAAUUUUUGGUCAAGGUAUUUUUUGAUGAAGUUGAAGUCCUAUCAACUUGAAACGUAGUACACAUGUUCCUUAUGACAUGAUUUUUCUAAUUUGAAUGCCAAAUUAGAGUUUUUACCCCAAUUUCAAGGUCCUCUGAACAUAGAAAAUGAUAGUGUGAUUUGGGCGUCCUUGUACUAUGGACACAUUCUUGUUGUUAUUUAAUGUAUUACCAACACAUCUCAGCUUUCUAACGUUUGGUGAAAACAUAUUACAGAUUUUAAAAGUUUUGAAUUGAAAGUGUUAAAAUGAUUACAAUCUAAGGGGUCAUCCAUAAUUGUCAACCAUUUUCCAAAGUGUACAAAACGUACACUUGGGGGGAGGGGGUUAAAAAAUCAACAUUUUUACCGUACGCUUUUUUCUUAUUUCCGGAAUUUAUAUCGUUUCUGUAGGGAAAGUCGAUUUUUAAAUCGAGAAUUGGCUUGGGUGUGUUUCUCUUCUUAUUUCUUCUUUAUUAUUUUCACUUGAUGAUAUUGAUUUCGAUAUCAUAAUUCUACUCAAUCGGGAUUGAACGAUUAAAAGAUCAAAUCAUAUGAAAACUAAAUCUUUCAAAAAUAUGAACUAGUAAAAUUAUUUAAACAAAAAGUUUGCAAGCAUUUCUCAGUACCCCUGAUUGUCAAUUUCACCUGCUUUAUCAUUGAUCGAUAUCGUUUUACUCUGUUUAAUAAACAAAAUUGAUGGAAACACUAACAUGCUAAAUUCUUUGAAUGUUUUGAUUUUGACAAGACGCCAUUUUGUGAAAAGAUUUUAAACCAGUCCUUCGAUUAAUUUCCUUGUAAUGCAUUCCAAAAUAGUAAACCAGUAAACCGGAAGUAAACUUAUUUUUCUUAGUAUAAGCCUCCUUUAAUUAGGAGCACCUCCAUAUGAAGUUUACCUUAACUUAAAAAUAUCCAAUAUAUGUACACGUUACAGUAUAUAUACAUAAACGAUAAUAGUGCCAUGAAUGGCAUAUUUACAGGGAACUUUUAAAUAGAAAUACAGGCGGGAAAUUUAAAAAACUCAAAAUGUUUUUAAAACAUUACACUUUUAUUGAUUGCUGUCUUGAGCUCUGAUUCCAUCAACAACUGUCAGUCCAUACUUUACCAAUGCAAUAUAACCAUGCAUUUCCCUUUCUUUGAUUCGUAGCAUAAUUUAUGUGCCCUUUUGUUAAUCUUUUGCAUGCUCUAGGUGCCUUUUUUUAUUGGAGUUACCAUUUCCACUGUGUGAUAGGGGAAACACUAAUUUUUGUACUCUUUAUUCUGACAAAACACAAGCAUAGAUAGAUGUCAUCAAAUAAAACAGUCAGAUAUGUUUUAGUUUUUUUUCAAAGCAAAUUUCUAUAUUAAACUAAAAUAUAAUAGACAGGAUCUUCUUUUUAUUAAGAAUGACUGAUUCUUCUCUUGAAAUCUGAAAAUGGUUGAUGUACUUUUUGAGGGGAGGUGGGGGGUCUGAAAAAGUGUGCGUUUUGUACACUUUGGAAAAAGGUUGACAAUUAUGGAUGACCCCUAAAUGGUCAGGUGGUCAAUCAGUUUUUCUUGAGUUCCAGCAUUAUGAUGUAGGAAAACAAAUGAUGUGAAUAUAGUUAUCUUGUAUUUUUUUUCAUUUAAAAUUUACUUGGAAAAGUGUUUAUGAAACUUGCAUGUUAUUUCUGAAAUUUGUUUACAGUGACAAAAAUCCAUUUAACAUUUACAUGUAUUUUUUACCAGUAAAAUUUUAAGCAGUUUAAUUGUAUAGAUUACGUUUUAUUUAUUAUGACAUUAGAAUAUGUUUAAACCAUCAUCAUGUGACUCUUUGCCCUCCAGCUUCUACAGCUUCUAUUGGCUAAAGAAACCUUAAAUGAGCAAGUGUGUAUGUUUUGCAUAAUAUUAAUAUUUUUAUUUAUGGGAGUCGACAGAUCUUAAUGUUUUUAAAAUAAAUCUUAAUUGUAAUUUUGUUAUAAUGAAAAUAAGAUUUAAGAUUUUGGAAUAAUAUUCAAUAAUUUUCUCAAAGUAAUCAAUCUAGCAAGAAAAAUAUAUAUAUUUAUUUUUAUAGCAUGCUAAAUUUUCUUAGAGUAGUCAAUCCAGUGGUACAUUUUUCAGAUCAGAAAUGGUAGUUUUGUAUAUAGUAUAACAUUUUGUUUUUAUUUAUAGGGUGAAAAUUUAUUAAUAAUAUUCUGCACUUUCAAUAAAGCAUUACAGAAUAGGUGUUACAAAAAGUAUGAUUUUUUCAAAAUACUAAAGAUUUUCUUAUUCUACGCAUAGAUUAUAGGUUACAAAAAGUAUGAUUUUUUCAAAAUACUAAAGAUUUUCUUAUUCUAUGCAUAGAUUACCUUAUUUAGUACAACAUUUUGAAAUUUUAUGUCCUCAAUGCUCGUCAACUUCGUAUUUGUUUAACUCAAUAACUAUUUUGAUCUGAGUGAUCCAGUGUGUGUCACUGACUAGUCUUAUGUAGACACUGGCAUUUUUAAAUUGUUAUCCUGGUACUUUUGAUAACUAAUUACAAUACACUUGAUGAUGAUUUUGCAUCAGACAAGACAUUCAUAUCAAUCUGAUAUUACAGCAUAUUCCGUGUCUAUGCUUUACUCACAAGGAUCUUAGCAUUUUAUAUCUGUUCAAGACCUUUCAAGAUCCUCUGGUUUUGUUGUAAUGAUACACAUCUUCCACUAUUUUAUAUCUGUUCAAGACCUUUCAAGAUCCUCUGGUUUUGUUGUAAUGAUACACAUCUUCCACUAUUUUAUAUCUGUUCAAGACCUUUCAAGAUCCUCUGGUUUUGUUGUAAUGAUAUACAUCUUCCACUAUUUUCAGACAGGCAAAAGCAAGGAUACAGAAUGUUUAUUUUAAUCAGAUUGCAUUUGAAUUGUCUGUGAUAGUAACACUUACGUGAAAUAAUCUACAAGUAAUGUAUUUUUAUACAGAUCAUACAUGUGAUAAUUUCAUUUAGUUCAGGAUUUGAUGCUUUGAAUAAACAUAGACAACACA
rnacentral:lncRNA from 1 species